UAAAGGCAGUGCUUUAAGGCCUGACUUUUAAGUCAUGAGGUUCAUCUUUUCAUACGCAAUCCAUGCUGGGGGUCUUUUGGCCAGAAAUAGAUCCGGAAAUGUUCGAAUUUCUCCUCUUCUUUUUAUACGACCGCAAAUUUUGAAAAAAUUUUCGUCGUAUAUUGCUAUCACGUUGGCGUCGUCGUCGUCGUCGUCGUCGUCGUCGUCGUCGUCGUCGUCGUCGUCGUCGUCCGAAUACUUUUAGUUUUCGCACUCUAACUUUAGUAAAAGUGAAUAGAAAUCUAUGAAAUUUUAACACAAGGUUUAUGACCAUAAAAGGAAGGCUGGUAUUGAUUUUGGGAGUUUUGGUCCCAACAUUUUAGGAAUUAGGGGCCAAAAAGGGCCCAAAUAAGCAUUUUCUUGGUUUUCGCACUAUAACUUUAGUUUAAGUUAAUAGAAAUCUAUGAAAUUUUGACACAAGGUUUAUGACCACAAAAGAAAGGUUGGGAUUGAUUUUGGGAGUUUUGGUUUCAACAGUUUAGGAAUUAGGGGCCAAAAAAGGGCCCAAAUAAGCAUUAUUCUUGGUUUUCACACAAUAACUUUAGUUAAAGUAAAUAGAAAUCAAUGAAAUUUAAACACAAUGUUUAUGACCACAAAAGGAAGGUUGGUAUCGAUUUUGGGAGUUUUGGUCCCAACAGUUAAGGAAAAAGGGGCCCAAAGGGUCCAAAAUUAAACUUUGUUUGAUUUCAUCAAAAUUGAAUAAUUGGGGUUCUUUAAUAUGCCGAAUCUAACUGUAUGUAGGUUCUUAAUUUUUGGUCCCGUUUUCAAAUUGGUCUACAUUAAGGUCCAAAGGGUCCAAAAUUAAACUUAGUUUGAUUUUAACAAAAAUUGAAACCUUGGUGUUCUUUGAUAUGCUGAAUCUAAAAAUGUACUUAGAUUUUUGAUUAUUGGCCCAGUUUUCAAGUUGGCCCAAAUCGAGGUCCAAAAUUAAACAUUGUUUGAUUUCAUCAAAAAUUGAAUAAUUGGGGUUCUUUGAUAUGCCAAAUCUAACUGUGUAUGUAGAUUCUUAAUUUUUGGUCCAGUUUUAAAAUUGGUCUAAAUUAAAGUGCAAAGGGUCCAAAAUUAAACUAAGUUUGAUUUUAACAAAAAUUAAAUUCUUGGGCCUCUUUGAUAUGCUGAAUCUAAACAUGUACUUAGAUUUUUGAUUAUGGGCCCAGUUUUCAAGUUGGUCCAAAUCAGGAUCUAAAAUUAUUAUAUUAAGUAUUGUGCAAUAGCAAGUCUUUUCAAUUGCACAGUAUUGUGCAAUGGCAAGAAAUAUCAAAUUUCACAAUAUUGUGAAAUUGCCAAUUUUUUUUUUAAUUAAGAGUUAUCUUUCUUUGUCCAGUAUAGUAAGCAAGAAAUAUCUGCAAGAAUUUUUUUUAAUUGGAGUUAUCUUUCUUUGUACAGAAUCAACUUAAAUCUUUGUUAUAUACAAUAUACAAUGUAUAUUCACUUUUUAUUACCAACUGAUAAAUUUAAAUUAUCUUUACCAUUCAGUGAUAACAAGCAGUUUUUUUACAUCUUAAUAUUUUAUGAUGUAUUUAAAUGAGUAGUAAUUGUUGCAAACUCCAUUAGAAUAUUUUAAUUGAAAUUAGUUUUGGAAUAAGGGAAAAGGGGAUGUGAUUAAAAAAUUGGGUUCAAUUUUUCUCAUUUGAAAUUUCAUAAAUAAAAAGAAAAUUUCUUCAAACAUUUUUUUGAGAGGAUUAAUAUUCAACAGCAUAGUGAAUUGCUCUAAGAGAAAACAAAAAUUUUAAGUUCAUUUGAAUACAUUCAUUCUGUGUCAGAAACCUAUGCUGUGUCAACUAUUUAUUUAUUAUGGGCCCAGUUUUUAAGUUGGUCCAAAUCAGGAUCUAUAAUUAUUAUAUUAAGUAUUGUACAAUAGCAAGUCUUUUUAAUUGCACAGUAUUGCGCAAUGGCAAGAAAUAUCUAAUUGCACAAUAUUGUGAAAUAGCAAAUUUUUUUUUUAAUUAGAGUUAUCUUUCUUUGUCCAGAGUAGUAAGCAAGAAAUAUCUAAUUGCACAAUAUUGUGCAAUAGCAAGAAUUUUUUUUAAUUGGAGUUAUCUUUCUUUGUCCAGAAUCAACUUAAAUCUUUGUUAUAUACACUAUACAAUGUAUAUUCACUUUUUACUACCAACUGAUAAAUUUUAAUAAUCUUUACCAUUCAGUGAUAACAAGCAGUUUUUUUACAUCUUAAUAUUUUAUGAUGUAUUUAAAUGAGUAGUUAUUAUUGUUGCAAACUCCAUUAGAAUAUUUUAAUUGAGAUUAGUUUUGUAAUAAGGAAAAGGGGGAUGUGAUUAAAAAAUUGGGUUCAAUUUUUCUCAUUUGAAAUUUUAUAAAUAAAAAGAAAAUUUCUUCAAACAUUUUUUUGAGAGGAUUAAUAUUCAACAGCAUAGUGAAUUGCUCUAAGAGAAAACAAAAAAUUUUAAGUUCAUUAGAACACAUUCAUUCUGUGUCAAAAACCUAUGCUGUGUCAACUAUUUAAUCACAAUCCAAAUUUAGAGCUGAAUCCAGCUUGAAUGUUGUGUCCAUACUUGCCCCAACUGUUCAGGGUUCAACCUCUGCGGUCGUAUAAAGCUACGCCCUGCGGAGCAUCUGGUUAUGGUAUGAUAUGGUUUUUGUUUCUUUCAUUUACAUUGGGGACUAAAGAAACGAUCAGUGUGUAUUGUUCGUUUUAUAGAACUUGUUAUAAGUGUGUAUUUUGCAUUAUAAGCAGUCAACCUGACUACAAACUAUCAAUAGUUGUAUAUUCCGUGUGGAAAGAGGUCGGGUCAAUUUCAAGUGUUAUCUGACAUCUAAAGAUUCUUUAAUUAGUUCAGACGUUGAUAUAACAAUGAAAAGUCGACUGAACAUGAUUAAUAUUGCAUCUUCAAUAAUUCAAAGCGGAAUUCGGUUUAUGAACGAGAAACCGUAAAGCGUUUUCAAUUUCGGUAUUAGUUAUGUAUGUUAUCUACGUAUUAUCCUGGUUCCCGGUACUACGUUCCGGGUAUUAGCUAUUUGAUAUAUUUGAUGUGUAACAUUACAAUCGGGUACCAGCCAAUCUACGUGUGUAUGUGUACAUGAUUUACCGCCAAAAUGACCGACUUAAAAAAUAGUCCAUAAACUUUCCGUAUAAUGAUAUGCAAAUUCAUAAUUAAUCGUAACUUUUUUUUAUCUUUGUAUAAUUAAUAUAACAAAAUGGAUUCCACAAAAUUGAAAAUAGCAUUAUUUUACGAGGAUUUCUCAUAUUUUUUUCACAUCCGGCGCAGUAAUACGUAUGUUUUGAAGAAGCUCGAAGAAUUUGACAAAGUGAAUUGAGAAGGAAACGGAUAGAUACACGUUCUUACUAUCAGGGCACAAACCCACUUUAAAGAGACUUGUCUACUGCCAUACCCAUCCUAUUUUCAUGCACCAUUUGCAAGCAAGAGACUGAAUGGUUUGCAAAAUUAAAAAUCAGGACGGUGUCCAAUUAAAACAAAAGAACUAAACUGGAUGAAUAUUGUAGGAGAAAUCUAGACAUGCUAGAGGAAAGUUUUGAUUUGUGAAAUUGGUUUUCCUGAAAAGUCAUUCAUCCUAGCCUGCAGAAAGGAACUAUAACUGUCCACCACCAACUGACGAGCUAAUGUUGAGCUUCACAUAUGGAAUUACUCAAAUACCAUCAAUGUCUAUGUUUUCAGCACAAAUUUCACAAUUUAUGACACAGCUGUGCUUUUUUUUAUACCGUUAAAGAGUUGUAUACCAAAUUUUAUUUUUUUAUCAAUAAAUAUAUAUUAUAUUAA